UUUACCCUCUCGGCUUGCCGUACCUGUGAUGUCUUUUACCCAGGAGUAGAUUUCAGAACCCUUUCUAUUUAAAAACAUUCUAAGAACAUUCCGGCGCUCUUUACCGGAGAAACGUUUUUUAUGGUGGAGAGGGAGGGACAUCGCAUUCAUUCGCAAAUAAAUGCAACAACUGUUAACGAUUGUCUUUUGACAGUCGUGUUGACAAGCGGAUUGAGGCCCCGUAAUCUUGAUUUGGCCUUGAACGCUACGCCAUUUUCGAACCCUGCACACGUAGCGCGCUUUUUAGCCGGAGAGGCCCGCGGACGCGAUCCUAAUCGGAGCCCUCCAGCGUUUGGCUUGGCCCGGGGACCGCACCGUUAGCAUAGCCCGAAGCCUGCCAGCGAAGCUGCAACCCCAGGUGUUUGGCAGCGCCAGGAAUCCAAAGCCUGAUUUUCACUUCCAAAGGUAUGGGACGAGCUGAGCAUCACGUUGCCCGGGAAACCUCAGAUCUGCGAUUCCACAGACCCAGGAAGUGGUUUAGCCUGCUAUUGUUUCCACUGGCUCGGUGUGUUAUUGUUUACGCCCCGAACUUAACGUUACGGCUCGCUGGAAUUCUGCAGGAAAGUCCCAGACCGAAAGACAUUUUAUGUGUAUAAACAACCACACGCCGGGGAAUCACCUCUUUCCCAGAAAUUGUCACAAGACCCUUCACAGACAACUCUGGCCUAGACCCCCACAGGAGCAAGCCUAAGGCAACAGUGGCAAGGAAAAACUCCCUGUGGCAGAUGGGGAGAAACCUCAGAAGGAGCCAGGCUCAAGGGGGGGAACCCAUCCUCCUCUGGUCGGCUCAGGGUGUAGACUGGUGACCAACAUGGUCCGUGUUCCGGCCGGCUCGCAGGGCCGCAACAACAGAGUCCAAAGUACCAAAAACAAUCCAGAAACU